rnacentral:rRNA from 1 species
AACGAACGCUGGCGGCAGGCCUAACACAUGCAAGUCGAGCGAGGACUUCGGUCCUAGCGGCGGACGGGUGAGUAACGCGUGGGAACGUGCCCUUUGCUUCGGAAUAGCCCUGGGAAACUGGGAGUAAUACCGGAUGAGCCCUUUGGGGGAAAGAUUUAUCGGCGAAGGAUCGGCCCGCGUUGGAUUAGGUAGUUGGUGGGGUAAUGGCCUACCAAGCCGACGAUCCAUAGCUGGUUUGAGAGGAUGAUCAGCCACACUGGGACUGAGACACGGCCCAGACUCCUACGGGAGGCAGCAGUGGGGAAUCUUAGACAAUGGGGGAAACCCUGAUCUAGCCAUGCCGGGUGAGCGAUGAAGGCCUUAGGGUUGGAAAGCUCUUUCAGCUGGGAAGAUAAUGACGGUACCAGCAGAAGAAGCCCCGGCUAACUCCGUG